CAGAGCUGGGAAGAGGUGUGCGUGUUGCCUUCCCAGCUGUGGACGGGGAAGGUCAGCGCUGCUCCGAGGAUGUCCCUAAAGCCAGUGAUAGGGACAGCCGCUCACCCGACACAGACUCUGGAAGAUGCUCCCCAUUGCCAAACGUCAGGGCCAUGCCCUGCUGCGCGGGGCGUGUUGUGUGCGUCCCACCCGGGGUGGCAGCCGUGCUGCUGGGCCGUGCACUGUCUUGACCUCUCUGGUUUAUCUCUGGUGGAAGAAGAGUCCCGUGCUUCGGUGUAAGGUGCCAGAGCUCCGUGAGAAAGUCCCGGAGUGUGAGUGGGGAGGCCCUGGAUCACCACUGUCCUGCCGUGACAGAAGGCCAGGGAGGCACAGGCUGCUGGCCCAGGGCGCUCUUUUCCUGGAACUGGAAGCCUCGCCCUCUCCUAGGGAGAAUUCAUUCUAGAUGGACUAUUGAGGGACUGA